rnacentral:rRNA from 1 species
GAGGGAAACCGAGUCUUAACCGGGCGUUAAGUUGCAGGGUAUAGACCCGAAACCCGGUGAUCUAGCCAUGGGCAGGUUGAAGGUUGGGUAACACUAACUGGAGGACCGAACCGACUAAUGUUGAAAAAUUAGCGGAUGACCUGUGGCUGGGGGUGAAAGGCCAAUCAAACCGGGAGAUAGCUGGUUCUCCCCGAAAGCUAUUUAGGUAGCGCCUCGUGAAUUCAUCUCCGGGGGUAGAGCACUGUUUCGGCCAGGGGGCCAUCCCGGCUUACCAAUCCGAUGCAAACUGCGAAUACCGGAGAAUGUUAUCACGGGAGACACACGGCGGGUGCUAACGUCCGUCGUGAAGAGGGAAACAACCCAGACCGCCAGCUAAGGUCCCAAAGUCAUGGUUAAGUGGGAAACGAUGUGGGAAGGCCCAGACAGCCAGGAUGUUGGCUUAGAAGCAGCCAUCAUUUAAAGAAAGCGUAAUAGCUCACUGGUCGAGUCGGCCUGCGCGGAAGAUGUAACGGGGCUAAACCAU